rnacentral:tRNA from 1 species
GCAGAUGUGGUGGAAUGGCAGACACGAUAUCUUAAGGGGGUAUUGAGUGAAUACUCGUGCGGGUUCAAGUCCCGCCAUCUGCACCA